rnacentral:rRNA from 1 species
UACAGAGGUGGCAAGCGUUGUUCGGAAUUACUGGGCGUAAAGGGCGCGUAGGCGGUCUUCUAAGUCCUGUGUGAAAUCCCUCGGCUCAACUGAGGAACUGCACGGGAUACUGGAAGACUUGAGUUCGGGAGAGGGAAGCGGAAUUCCGGGUGUAGCGGUGAAAUGCGUAGAUAUCCGGAGGAACACCGGUGGCGAAAGCAGGUGACUGGACCACUAUUGACACUGAGCCACGAAAGCUAGGGGAGCAAACAGG